rnacentral:lncRNA from 1 species
GGGUAUGCUACUCCUUCAUUUUCUGCGUUUCUUCACUCUACUGCAGUGUCAUGCACGAUCUGAUACGUGACUCUUUUACUUGUCCUGCAAACAGAAGUUUCGAUGAUUCGGCAUGGGGUGCAGCAUUUGACACUAAUGACGAUGUGGAUUCUGUAUGGGGAUUUAACCCAAGCACCAAGGUCUGUCCCUAAACCUCCUUAAGAACCUGACCUGAGAUUAUAGAUAGAUAUUGAUGUCAGAAGGGAUGAAUAAGUUUUAGCCACCCUUUUCUAAAGCAAACUCCUUUUCGCACACAUACUGCUCUUAACAGGACACUGAUUCAGAGAAGCAUCAAGACUUCUUUGGUUCCCACGACGAUUUUGGAAUGAAGCCAAUCAGGACUUCAGGAUCUCCAACCAC